rnacentral:rRNA from 1 species
GAGCAUGUCAAGAAUCUACCUAGUAGUAUGGGAUAGCCACUAGAAAUGGUGGGUAAUACUGUAUAAUCCCUGCGGGGGAAAGAUUUAUCGCUAUUAGAUGAGCCUAUGUUAGAUUAGCUAGUUGGUAGGGUAAAGGCCUACCAAGGCAGUGAUCUAUAGCUGGUCUGAGAGGAUGAUCAGCCACACUGGAACUGAGAUACGGUCCAGACUCCUACGGGAGGCAGCAGUGGGGAAUAUUGGACAAUGGGCGCAAGCCUGAUCCAGCUAUGCCGCGUGAGUGAGGAAGGCCUUAGGGUUGUAAAACUCUUUCAGUGGGGAAGAUAAUGACGGUACCCACAGAAAAAGU